rnacentral:RNase_P_RNA from 1 species
AAAGUAAAUAUCUUUAUCGCAUUUUUUUCAAAAAACUAAAAAAAUGAGGAAAGUCUGGACACUAAAGAGAAGUACAGCGGAUAACAUCCGUCCAUCGUGAGAUGAGGAAAAGUGCAACAGAAAGUAUGUAUAGUAUAAUUAAAUUUUAAAAUUAUAUUUUAUAGUGAAAUCUUGUAAACUCUGUAUAGUGAAAUGUCAAAAAAAUACCAUUAAUUUAUUUUUCUCGAUAAAGAAUGGUUGGUAGACAGAUAAUGAUAUAUAUGGUAACAUAUAUACUAGAUAAAUGAUAAAGAAUAUAUAAUUAAAUUUAUAAAUUUAAUUAUAUAUUACAGAAUCCGGCUUAUAUAUUUACUUUAUUU